rnacentral:rRNA from 2 species
CCAAAGUGGCGACCCCGCACUCCCGGGGCGUCUCUCCUUUCUCGCUUCGGCAAGAUGGAGGCGCACCCAGAGCGUACACGCUGGGACCCGAAAGAUGGUGAACUAUGCCUGGUCAGGACGAAGUCAGGGGAAACCCUGAUGGAGGUCCGUAGCGAUUCUGACGUGCAAAUCGAUCGUAAGAACUGGGUAUAGGGGCGAAAGACUAAUCGAACCGUCUAGUAGCUGGUUCCCUCCGAAGUUUCCCUCAGGAUAGCUGGCGCUCCGGAUGUUGUUGCGAGUCUCAUCCGGUAAAGCGAAUGAUUAGAGGCAUUGGGGUCGAAACGGCCUCAACCUAUUCUCAAACUUUAAAUGGGUGAGAUCUCCGGCUUGCUUGAACAGUAAGUGUGAAGCCGGAGAUCGGAUCAGAGUGCCAAGUGGGCCACUUUUGGUAAGCAGAACUGG